AUUGGCAUUGUUUCUUCCUUAAAUGUUUGCUAAAAUUUGUCUUUUUCUUUUUCUUUCUUUAACUAUAUUUUUGCUGAAUUCCUUUUGAAGCUUUGCUAUUAGGCACAUACACAUGUAUUAAUAAUGAAGAGUUACUGUCCUGAUAAAAUGUCCCUCUUCGUCUCUGGGAGACUUCUUGUCUUGAUGUCUGUUUUGUCUGAUGAGUUCCAUCUAACUAGGGUUUCCAUGGUAGAUCUCUUUCUGUUCUCUUAUUUUUUACCUAUCUUUGUCUUUGUAUUUAAAUGUGGCUUUUGUAGACAGCAUAUAAUUGGGUCUUGCUGUUUUAUCCAGCUUUUCAUUGUGCCUUUCAGUGGGCAUGUUAGUCCAUUUACAUUUAAUGGAAGUACUUAUAUGGAUUUAGGCCUAUUACCACUUGUUUUCUGAUUUAUUUUUUGUUCCUCUGUUCCUCCUUUUCUGCCUUUUUUGGGCUAAUUGAAUAGUUUUUAGUAUCACAUUGUAAUUCCUCUGUUGGCUUUUUAGCUAUCCCUCUUUACAUUUGUAUGUGUGUGUGAUUACAACAUGGAGUUUUAACUUACCAUGGGCUGUUUCGAGUUAGUAUUAAACUGUGUAAAGUACAGGAAACUUAUAAAAGUGUAGCUCUAUUACCUCAUCCUUUGUGCUAUUUUUGUCAUAUACGUUUACAUCUAUAUACAUUAUAAACCUCACAAUGCCAACAUAAUUUUUGCUUUAAAUGGUUAUGUGUUUUUAAAAAAAUUAAAAGGAAAAAAAAUUUAUAUUUGCCAUUUUUGGUGUUCUUCAUUCCUCAGUAGGCCCAAGUCCAUUUGAUGUUUUUUUCCCUUUAGCGUAAAAAGAUUCCUUUAGUGUUUAUUGCAGGUCUGUUGGCAAAAAUUCAGUUAGAAUUUUAUUUAUAUGAAAAUGUUUUUGUUUUGCUUUCAUUUUUUAUAUCUAUAGAAUUUUGGGUUGACAGUGUUGCUGUUGUUUUGGUUUGGUUGAUUAUAAAUUAAUCGUUUUACAGGCAUUGUUUUCUGUUGUCUUUUGGCCUGACAUUUUUUCUAAUACAAAGUCAGCAUCAUCCAUAUGUUUCUGUAAUGAAGUGUCACUUGUUUCUCUGGCUGCUUACAAGAUGUUCUCUUCAUUUUUGGGUUCCAGCAGUUUGACCAUGCUGUGCAUAGGUAUGGUUUCUUGUUAUCUGCUUGGAGUUUGUUGAAUUUCUUAAAUCUGUACACUUAUGUUUUGUCACCAAAUUUGUAACUUCUUUUAUUAUUUUUUCAAAAAAUGUUUUGCCCCAUUCACUGUCAGUCCCAUGUUAAUCCCUAGGUUUUGGAGGCUCAGUUCAUUUUCCUUCAGCCUCUUUCCUCUUUGUCCUUUGAAUUAGAUCAUUUCCAUUGGCACAUACUUGAGUUUACUGACUGUUUUCCAUCUGCAGUCUCUGUUUGCUUGUGCAGUGAAUUUUUUGUUUUAGUUGUUAUGCCUCUUGGUUGCGUAAUUUCCCUUUGGUUCUUUAUAAUUUUGACUUCUCUUCCAAAAUUCUCCAUUUGUCCUCCACUGGAACUAAAUAACUCUAUCUUCCUUUAUGUUCUUGAGCAUGUUUAUAAUAGUUCUUCUUAAGGUCCCUGUGCUAAUUGCAACAUCCAGGUCAUCUCAUUUUUCCCUUUACUAUGGUCACAUCUUCUGUCUUUGUAUUUUAUGUCUAGUAAUUUUUUAUUGCAUAUUUAACAUUGAAGUAGAGACUUUGGAUUCUGUUACAUUUCUCUAAAAAAUAAUGAAUUCUGUUCUGGUGGGCAGUUAACUUGGCUGACCUCAACUCCAAAUUGUGUCUUCCCUAUAUUGGGCAGCAAAAUCUUUGCUCAGUUUUUUCAGUUUCAAGCUGCUGCUUUUUGCCAGGCCCCUGUGUGGUCCAGGGGUCAGCCGUGAUAUUGGGUAGGGAUUUAUACACCGGUUUGCGGGCUGAUCCUUUCUAGAACUCUGCUGUUUCUGGGAUUUCCCCCAGCCUCUGCAGUAGCCUUGAACUUUGUCUUCUGAUACCUCCAUCCUGUAAGACUGAACUGCAUAGAUCACUGAGGUACUCCCCUCAGGCGGAAAGCCACACAGGACAGCUCUCACCCACGGAGUUCCUGUUUCUCUAAGAGUUGACUCCUUUCCCAUUUCUGCCUGAUUUUGGUAGCUCUCCAGUCAUUCAAAUUAUUUUGUUUUGGUCCAGAUUUUAUAGUUGUGAUCUUAAGGAGAAUUAGUUUAGCCAAGCUGCUCUCAGUCUCCUAAAGCAAGAACUCUUAUCCUAUCAUCUGUUUUUUUGCAGUGAAUAAUACAACAUGCACAUCUUUCCACAUACUCAUGCAUUCUUCUACUACACUAUUUUUGAUACAGUGUUCCAUUCUGUAGGCAUGAUAUAAUUUAUUUACUCAUUCCCUAGAAUUUCACCUAUUCACAUUUUGCUGUUAUAAAUAAUGCUAUGAUGAACAUCCCUGUAGCUAUGUCCAUGGUUAUUUCCUUAGGAUAAAGUUGACAGAUUGCUGGGUCAGGUAUAUUGGAGUUUUUCCAAACUAUCUUUUAGUAUUAUUAUUACCUCUUAAUGUUUGUAUAUAAGGUUGUUUUUUAAUAGAAUUUACUUCUAGGUAAGUACCUUAUAUUUCAUUAUUUUUAUGUUGGCAUCUAAAUAUUAAACUGUUUCACAGGCUUAUAUCUCCCCAUCUGUAAAGCUUUGAAUUGAACCUAAAUCCUUUCUGGAUUUUCUGCAAUAUUUGUUUCAGAGUCCUGUUCGAUUUGAUACCUUUGAUAGCCUUUCACUAAGUAUUCCAGCUGCCACAUGGGGUCAUCCAUUGACCCUGGAUCACUGCCUUCACCACUUCAUCUCAUCAGAAUCUGUGCGGGAUGUUGUAUGUGACAACUGUACAAAGAUUGAAGCCAAAGGGACGUUGAAUGGGGAAAAGGUGGAACACCAGAGGACCACUUUUGUUAAACAGCUAAAACUAGGGAAGCUCCCUCAGUGUUUAUGCAUUCACCUCCAGCGGCUGAGCUGGUCCAGCCACGGCGCGCCCCUGAAGCGGCACGAGCACGUGCAGUUUAAUGAGUUCCUGAUGAUGG